UUAGUCCCACUUAUAUCAAGGUGACGUAAACUGACUAAAUUUCCAAUAUGUAUUGGCAAUUCAGUGAGACUCCAGCAGUUUGAUAAAUUCAAGGUCUGUAAAUUGUAAAGGUUACAUAUUGUAUCAGGCAAGCUUUCGAUUCCAGUGAAGGAGAUAUCUAGAUACCGCAACUGCACCGAAUUUCCAAUUGAAUCUGGUAGCUUGGUGAUGUUUUUAUACCCUGAUAGCGAUAACACACGCAACCUUUUUUGUGACGGUAGAAAGUCAUCAAUCACCUUGAAGGAUAAGUAAUUGUGCCACCACGUCGUCAAGCAAAUACAUAGGAAGCUUCGCAAACAUUUAAAAUUGUGUAAUUUCUCAAACUUCAUGAAAAUGUCAUAGUACUCUUGGUUAUAUGAGAAGUGACGAACAUUUUCAAGGAUGUCACCACAUUCAAGCCUGCAACAACUUUUUCCUGAUACGAAUGUAGCUAAAUCAUUGAUAAGGUCAUGCAUGACAAAUUUUUCCCCACGAUCAUCAUCGCUUAAUUGUUGAAUUAACGAUCUCGAUAACAAUUCAGCAAAACAAUCAUCACCUAAUUCCUCCAACUUUUUCCCCCCUUGAGAACAAUCAAGGAAACCUUCUGCCAUCCACAACAAAACCAAUUGCUUCUUAUCGAGUGGGCAAUCCUUUGGAAAAAUUGAACAAUAUGCAAAGCAUCUUUUCAANGCUCUUUGAUACUUAACCCCACGUGGCGCUUACCCACUAAAAAAAAGGUGAGAGUUUGAAGGUUUUCUAGUCCCCCAAUUUCCAAAGGUAACUCAUUAAUGUUAGUCCCACUUAUAUCAAGGUGACGUAAACUGACUAAAUUUCCAAUAUGUAUUGGAAAUUCAGUGAGACUCCAGCAGUUUGAUAAAUUCAAGGUCUGUAAAUUGUAAAGGUUACAUAUUGUAUCAGGAAAGCUUUCGAUUCCAGUGAAGGAGAUAUCUAGAUACCGCAACAGCACCAAAUUCCCAAUUGAAUCUGGUAGCUUGGUGAUGU
rnacentral:lncRNA from 1 species